CAGUUCAGUACUUAAAAGUUGGUGACUGAUGUAUUUUUGUCUGGUGCUCAUGGUGGAAAUGAUGCUCAUCUACAGCAGAGAAUGUUCUGGCAAGUGAGAGGACGGAUGGACAGCAGUGCACUGAGGGGGCCACAAUACGAAAGGAAGAGAAGCAAACCGAUGAAGUCAUAUCAGGCCCUGGAAUUGAAAUUGAAAAUGGGACCAAGAUCAGUUCUUGAAAGGAGACCCACGUAGGAAUAAGGCAUGCCUUCAUGUGUAGCAAAGCCAUGUAUGAUGAGCAUGGUGCCGUAAAUCCUGUAUGUGAGUUCCUGUGUUCUGCCCAUCCUUAUUGUCUGAAUUCAAGUUCCUGUUAUCCGCCCAUCCUUAUUGCCGGAGGGCCCUGGGAAUGUGAGCUUCUGACCUUGGUAGUUUUCCACAGUGCCUGCUGACAGGUUUGUAAAGCUCCGCUCUUGUUACAAUAAAUUCCAUUCUCCUUGCAAGAAUGA